rnacentral:rRNA from 1 species
CCGAGAUUCCCCCAGUAGCGGCGAGCGAACGGGGAGGAGCCCAGAGCCUGAAUCAGUGUGUGUGUUAGUGGAAGCGUCUGGAAAGGCGCGCGAUACAGGGUGACAGCCCCGUACACAAAAAUGCACAUAUUGUGAGCUCGAUGAGUAGGGCGGGACACGUGGUAUCCUGUCUGAAUAUGGGGGGACCAUCCUCCAAGGCUAAAUACUCCUGACUGACCGAUAGUGAACCAGUACCGUGAGGGAAAGGCGAAAAGA